GCCUUCGUGGUGUAGUGGUCAGCACGUUCGGCGCGUAUUCGAAAGAUUCGUGGUUCGACUCCCGGCGAGGACA
rnacentral:tRNA from 1 species